GGUGGACAGCAGCAGGAAUUUCUCCACAAAGAAGUUUUCACAAAGAGUUUCCAAGCCCUGGAAGAGGCUGCUCAGGGCAGUGGUGGAAUCACCACUGCUGGAGGGAUUUCAAACCAUACAGAUGUGGAUGUGGCACUCGGGGACAUGGGUCAGAAUGGCCUUGCAGUGCUGGAUCAGUGUUUGGACUCGAUGAUCUUGGAGGUCUUCUCCAUCCUAAAUGAUUCUAUGAUUCCCAGAAUUUUAAGUCUUUUCUAUCCCAUCAGAUGAAAAGGGGGAAGAAAACCUCUUUGAUUUCACUCUGCUGUCUUAGGAUUUGCUCACUGUCCUUGCCCAUGGCACAGGGUGGAAGUGGAUGAGCUUUGAGGUCCCUUCCAACCCAAACCAUCCCAGGAUUCUGUGAUUCCUGGGAUGAUCUCAGAGCUGGGCUGCUCCACCAGGAUGCAGCGAGAGGGAUGAAAGCCAUGGAGAGCAAGCAGAAUUAAACCAGAGUCAAAUCAUUCCAACUAGGUCGGGGUGAAUUAUUCAUAGCAAAUAAUUUAUUCACCGAACUCGACCUCAUUUCCCACAGCAGCGCUCCACUGUGCCAAAUUUAUUCCUGUCUGGGGAUCAUUCCCAGAGCAGCUCCUGUCCCAGAGGCUGAUGGGGUGCUCUUAAUAAUUCAAAUCUGUCGGGGUGCCAGUAGUUUUCCAGGGACUGUGUGCUCCCCUUUCUGCUGCCUCUGGGUAAAUGUGCCAGGGAAGAGGAUUUGGGAUCUUGUAACUUUUUCUGGGUCAGGCUGGAAUCCAACAAGACACCUUUAAUCCCGGGAUGAAUUCUCCCCCUAUUCCUCCAACACUUUCCCUGCCUUUUGGUCCAUUAUCCAAGCAGCUCCUGAGCAAAGCUGAAAGGAGAUUUACUCCUGUCACAGAGAUUUGAUUCCUCGUUAGCGCUGCCUUUGUUAAUUGGCAAUUAAACAGCGCCGGGGCCGCGUCCUGCCCGCGCCCCGAGCGCGCCUCCCGACCCCGUCUCUAAUCAGCCGCUCAUUAUCAGCGCUGCGUUAAUUAGCAGGCUCCGGAGACCACGGCGCCGCUCCUGCCUCUGGGGCCCUCUCCUGCAGAAGGAGCAUUAACGAGCUCCAAAUCCGCCUAAUUAAAUCUGGGGGCUGCGGGAGGGAUCCCCCCGUGCGGCCGGGAGAGCGGAGCGGGGACUCCUCCUGCUGCUGGCAGCGCAUCCUCAGCCGCCCGCAGGGGCUGGGAAUUCCUUCCCUGGCAGCUCAGGGCUCCUGGGACCCAUUUCCACCUUUUUUCCUGCUGCCCAUCAUCAAUUCACCCGGGUUUUCCCACCUUUUUUUCCCGCUGGUCAUCAUUAAUUCACCUGGGUUGUGGCUGCGAUUGCACGUUCUUCAUCAGUUCAGGGAAGGAGCAGCAGGCUCCUAAAAUUUCCUUCUGGGUUCCAGAAAGAUGGGAAAUGAUCAAAAUUAGAGUUGGGAAUUUUUUAAUGUUUGUUUUGGUUCUAUUAUUUUUGGUUUUGUUGGGAUUUUUUUCAUAGUUCUUUCUUUUCCCCAUCUUUCCCCCUUUUUUUCCUCCUCCUGACUCUUUUCCCUUCCCCUCACCCCUUUCCCUCUCAAUUUUUUCCAUCCUGUUUUAAACCAUGAGCUACAGCUCUGACACAGCCUUGAAGCACAACUUCAGGCAGAAGAAAAGGCAAAAAAUUGGGAAAAAGUUAAUUUUUUUAAAAUUGAGUACACUCUAAGCAACUUGUUCAAUUUUUUUUUUUAACGUAUAUUCUUAUCCCUAAGUCUUUGAGAAAACUUGAGGUUUUCUCUUCUAGCCUGGUUCAAGAUGGAAAUCAAAAGUUCUUGAUUUAAGUUUUUCAAGGAGAAAUUUUGGGUCAAGCAGAAUAUUUUGAGUUUGAAAAAUGUUACCAAUUUCAAUUGGAUUCCUUUUAAAGGGAUCUGCUAGAAAUGGAGAGGAAUUAAACACAGAUAAAAUUAGAAAAUAGCCUGGAAAGGCUUGAAAUUCCACAGUCUGCACAAGGAGAUAUUUUUAUGUAUAAGGUUAUUUUGUAAUGUUGAAAAAAGUUAAUAUAACUUUUGUUUGCAGUUUCAGCCUUUUGGCUGCAUUUUUAGCAUUGGGAAAACACACCAGGAAAGCUCAAGGAUCAAAUCCCUCCUGGCUGUGCCCGUGUCUGGCUGAGUCCUGGCUCCUCUGGGUGCCCACGGUGAUUUGGGGCAUUGAUUUGGGAUGUGGGGUGAGCAAUGUCUCACCCAGCCGUGGUGGCAGAGCUAUUUUGGAUCCAAGCUGAAUCAAUUCCAUUCUUCUAACUGCUCCAUCCUCAGCAGGAGCUCUCCAGACAUGCCAGAAAUUCAAUUUGAAAAGAGAUUUUCUCAAGCCAGGAGCUUCCAAGGCAGGAAUUUUCCCUGCGUUUGGGAGGAUCUCGGGUGGUUUUAGCUGAGGUCUCUUGGCUUUGGCUGCUGCAGGUUCGGAGGCAUUUCUCUCUUAUUUUAUGGCUUUUUUUUUGGCCAAGAAAUGGGCAGCUGGAAGGUGCAACCUGCAGCUCACCUUGGCAGGGCAAGAACUCCUCAAGUGCUGUCCAAAGGGAGGUGAAUCCCAGUUUGGCACCCUGAGGGGACACAGGGACUCGUCCCAUCCCAUCUUCCCUCUCCUGAGCUGCCCAUCCCUGAUGGAAGAGCAACUCAACCCCCCCUUUCUGCUCCUUGCUGGGUUCUCACACUGGGAAUUCCGAUGGCCUGGAGGUGUCUGAGUUACCUGUUUGACCAGUUUGGAUACUGGGAUGGAGAAAAAAGCAGUGCAGGGGGAAAUGCAGGGAGGAGGGCAAGGAUGUGGGGUAGGGAGAGCCUCUUCCAGGUUCCUAUUGGCAGCAAAAUGUGGGGUUUGCUCAGCCAGACUUCCAAAAGUGGGAAUCCCCUGGGAAAAUCUUGCCCUAAAUCCUCUGUCCCUGGCUAAAAUUGAGGAGGAGAGCACUGCUCAUACAGCUGUGGGUGGCCUGUGUUCUGCAUCCCUAUCCUUUGGGAAUUCACCUGGGAAAUCAGCUGGGGAGACCUGAGAUGUGGUUUUUGGUGGUGGUUUUUGGGAGGAUAGAGCUCUCCUGUGGGGAAUUGUUCCUCGUUUGCCUGUUCUUCACUUGCAUGCAUCUUCUUUCUCUCUGCAUCCCUUACCUCUCCCACUCCAGUGGGAUUCUGGGACUGUGAUUUUUAACUGUGGGCUCUCAUUUAUGUUUUUUUGCAGCUUUUUGUGUGCUGAGGGCAGAAUUGGAAUGAAAUCUCGUUUCAUUUGACAUGAGUGAACAGAAAAAAAAAAAACAAACCUGUGGUGUUGCCAGCACUUGAUACUGUCACUGAGAAAGAGGCUGGACUUGGAUUUCCCUGUUUCUGGGGCUGGGCAGACACAGAAUAACUUCUGGGCAUGCUGUGAGGGAGAUCACAAUGGUUUGUCCCAGACUUCAGUGACAGGGACAUUAUUACAGUGGUCUCUUUUCCCUGCAGGGUGCAGUGAGAGCUGCAAAUGUGUCAAUAGGUAAACAAGGAGAUUUCAGCUCCUCUGAGCAGAUUUGACACUGGACCAGCACUUUGUGCCCUUUGUCUGUUCAUAUCAACACCAACAAGUGUCCCCUUGGGGGGGAAUUGUCUGCUUGGCUGGCAGAAGGUGCCAGGGUUGGGGUCUGCCCUCCCUGAGGGCAUGGAAGUGUCCAGGGCCAGGCUGGAUGGAGCUUGGAGCAGCCUGGGCUAGGGAGAGGUCCCUGCCCAUGGCAGGGGCUGGGAUGAGAUGAUUUAAGGUCUUUUCCAGCUCCAACCACUCUGGGAUUCUAAGGAAGCUCAGUCCAUACAUUGUGGAAGUUGGAAGUUUCUCAAAGCAGGAAGUUUAUCCCAGAGAAGGAAAACUUGGCCAAGUCUUUGUGCCCCAGCCAGGGCUUGGUUUGGGGAAAACCCAGGAGCAGCACUCGGGGCUCCCCCUGAAGCUCCAGCAGGUCCCUGCUCUCACCUGCCCCUCGCUCCCUUCCCCAGCAGGAAAAUGCCCAUCAGCAGAGGAGUUUCCCAGCAAAAUCUGCAUCUCUGACAACAGUGCCAGGCUUGUGCCCACUGCUGCAGUGCCCAGAGCCCUGGGGUGAGGGCAGCUGGCAUCUCUGGCAGCCUUUAGGGGCUGUUGUUGAACAAAGAGCAGGUUUCUGGGCAGGCAGAGGAUGGAAAUAACAGCCCCAGCAGCUUUCAGAAGGGAUGGAAUCUCUCCCCAGCAAGGGGCCCAGGCCAGGCUGCCACUGUGUUUUUGAGGCUGUGCUCAGGCAGAUCAACACCCAGGGACUUCCUUGGGCUGCAAAUCCCUCUGGAGAAGAGAAACCCCGAGGUUUGUCUGAUGCAGAUCCAGACAGGGAUGUUUUCAAGCAGCUACUGAAAGCUGAGGAGUCAUCAGGCUGCUGAAGGAGGAGAAUUCCAUCCUUUUAGCAAGGCUUGGGGCAUGGAGCUGCUCUGCUGCAAGCAGGUCAAAGCUUUCCAAAGCAAUUUCAGGUGCUUCCUGCUCAGGAGAAUGAUGGGCUUGCCCUGCCAGAGGAUAAACUAAGCAAUUAAGCAAUGACACCUAAAUUAUUUUUACUUUUAACCCAAUAACCAACCACCCAUGCCCUGCAAUGUGGAUUUUUCUAUCCAAUUACACAAAUUGUGUAAUUCUGUGAAGAAUAAGGUGAAGAAGGAGGUGAAGAAGAAGGAGCAGCCUCUGCCCUAAAACCUCCAUCUUGCUUUAUAUAUCUGUUACUAUAUUCUAAACCC